rnacentral:rRNA from 1 species
GUGACCUCAAAUCAGGUAGGACUACCCGCUGAACUUAAGCAUAUCAAUAAGCGGAGGAAAAGAAACUAACAAGAUUCCCCUAGUAACUGCGAGUGAAGCGGGAAAAGCUCAAAUUUAAAAUCUGUCAGCCUUGGCUGUCCGAGUU